rnacentral:rRNA from 1 species
UGGGGAAUAUUGCGCAAUGGGCGAAAGCCUGACGCAGCGACGCCGCGUGAGGGAUGAAGGUUUUCGGAUCGUAAACCUCUGUCAGAAGGGAAGAAACCGCACUGUGCUAAUCAGCAGUGCCUUGACGGUACCUUCAAAGGAAGCACCGGCUAACUCCGUGCCAGCAGCCGCGGUAAUACGGAGGGUGCAAGCGUUAAUCGGAAUUACUGGGCGUAAAGCGCACGUAGGCUGCUUUGUAAGUCAGGGGUGAAAUCCCACGGCUCAACCGUGGAACUGCCUUUGAUACUGCUUAGCUUGAAUCCGGGAGAGGGUGGCGGAAUUCCAGGUGUAGGAGUGAAAUCCGUAGAUAUCUGGAGGAACAUCAGUGGCGAAGGCGGCCAACUGGACCGGUAUUGACGCUGAGGUGCGAAAGCGUGGGGAGCAAACAGG